rnacentral:lncRNA from 1 species
CUCUAAACAAGCAACUGCAGAAUGUGCAUCUGUGGACUUAAGUGUCAGCACUGGCCUGGAGAAGGAUGUUGGGAAGUCCCAAUGGCCUCCAGGCAUAAGGGUACCGAUUCCUCCUGGACACAAACUGCCAGCUGUUCUGAUUUAUUACCUCCAGGUAAUAAAUGAUGUAUACAAUGAUGACUUCCAGUUUUCCCACAUUUAGACUAAAAAUGCCAGUGCCUCUUUUUCCCCAACAGAGUCCAGUGACAAACUUCAUAGGUAGAUUCGUUGGUACAAGAUUCCUUCCUAGAAAACCUCCAGCUGUGUGUGCGGUGUGUGGCUUGGAAGACAGCUCCCCUGUCUUUCUGUCUCCCCUAGAGGAGGCCUCGAGUUCCUCAGUGCUACAUCCAGGAGGCCAUAAUCAUUUGGGAUUCUCGUAAAGCAGUGAACCUGUUGGCCAACCCCAGCAGUUCAAGGAAAAGGAUUUAGAACUGCACCAAGACAGAUCUAGUGUCAGAAUGAAGCUAGAGUAGAAGGUGCUCCUCUG